rnacentral:ncRNA from 1 species
GAGAGCCGACGUACGGAGAAAUCCGUAUGCGCGGUUCGGGGAGCGAAGGUGGGAAACGGCCUGCGAGAGCGCAGGUGACUCGCAAGGGUUAAGCGCGCCUACCUUCGACUCCAC